GGGCCCGCACAAGCGGUGGAGCAUGUGGUUUAAUUCGAUGAUACGCGAGGAACCUUACCAGGGCUUAAAUGUAGUAUGACCGGUCUAGAAAUAGACCUUCUCUUCGGAGCAGAUUACAAGGUGCUGCAUGGUUGUCGUCAGCUCGUGCCGUGAGGUGUUAGGUUAAGUCCUGCAACGAGCGCAACCCCUAUUCUUAGUUGCCAGCGGUUCGGCCGGGGACUCUAACAAGACUGCCGGUGCAAACCGUGAGGAAGGUGGGGAUGACGUCAAAUCAUCACGGCCCUUACGUCCUGGGCUACACACGUGCUACAAUGGUCGGUACAGAGAGCAGCCACUACGCGAGUAGGAGCG
rnacentral:rRNA from 1 species